rnacentral:rRNA from 1 species
GGACCCGCACAAGCAGCGGAGCAUGUGGUUUAAUUCGAAGCAACGCGAAGAACCUUACCAGGGCUUGACAUCCCCCUGACUGGCCGGUAAAGCGGCAGUCCCUACGGGGCGAGGGGAGGACAGGUGGUGCAUGGUUGUCGUCAGCUCGUGUCGUGAGAUGUUGGGUUAAGUCCCGCAACGAGCGCAACCCUUGUCAUUAGUUGCCAGCGAGAGAGACGGGCACUCUAGUGAGACUGCCGGGGAUAACUCGGAGGAAGGUGGGGAUGACGUCAAAUCAUCAUGCCCCUUAUGUUCUGGGCUACACACGUGCUACAAUGGCCGGUACAGAGUGGAGCAAAGCCGCGAGGCGGAGCGAAUCACAAAAACCGGUCCCAGUUCGGAUUGCAGGCUGCAACUCGCCUGCAUGAAGUUGGAGUUGCUAGUAAUCGCGAAUCAGAAUGUCG